rnacentral:rRNA from 1 species
GAUGAACGCUGGCGGCGUGCCUAAUACAUGCAAGUCGAGCGAACGGACGAGAAGCUUGCUUCUCUGAUGUUAGCGGCGGACGGGUGAGUAACACGUGGAUAACCUACCUAUAAGACUGGGAUAACUUCGGGAAACCGGAGCUAAUACCGGAUAAUAUUUUGAACCGCAUGGUUCAAAAGUGAAAGACGGUCUUGCUGUCACUUAUAGAUGGAUCCGGGCUGCAUUAGCUAGUUGGUAAGGUAACGGCUUACCAAGGCAACGAUGCAUAGCCGACCUGAGAGACUGAUCGGCCACACUGGAACUGAGACACGGUCCAGACUACUACGGGACGCAGCAGUAGGGAAUCUUCCGCAAUGGGCGAGAGCCUGACGGAGCAACGCCGCGUGAGUGAUGAAGGUCUUCGGAUCGUAAAACUCUGUUAUUAGGGAAGAACAUAUGUGUAAGUAAAUGUGCACAGCUUGACGGUACCUAGUCAGAAAGCCCCGGCUAACUACGUG